rnacentral:rRNA from 1 species
AACGAACGCUGGCGGCAGGCCUAACACAUGCAAGUCGAGCGAACCCUUCGGGGUUAGCGGCGGACGGGUUAGUAACGCGUGGGAAUAUACCCAAAGGUACGGAAUAGCCUCGGGAAACUGAGAGUAAUACCGUAUGUGCCCCUCGGGGGAAAGAUUUAUCGCCUUUGGAUUAGCCCGCAUUGGAUUAGGUAGUUGGUGGGGUAAUGGCCUACCAAGCCGACGAUCCAUAGCUGGUUUGAGAGGAUGAUCAGCAACACUGGACUGAGACACGGCCCAGACUCCUACGGGAGGCAGCAGUGGGGAAUCUUAGACAAUGGGGGAAACCCUGAUCUAGCCAUGCCGCGUGGACGAUGAAGGCCUUAGGGUUGUAAAGUCCUUUCAGCUGGGAAGAUAAUGACGGUACCAGCAGAAGAAGCCCCGGCUAACUCCGUGCCAGCAGCCGCGGUAA